rnacentral:rRNA from 1 species
UGGGGAAUUUUGGACAAUGGGGGAAACCCUGAUCCAGCCAUGCCGCGUGAGUGAAGAAGGCCUUCGGGUUGUAAAGCUCUUUUGGCCGGAAAGAAAAGGCCACGGAUAAUACCCGUGGUUCUUGACGGUACCGGCAGAAUAAGCACCGGCUAACUACGUGCCAGCAGCCGCGGUAAUACGUAGGGUGCGAGCGUUAAUCGGAAUUACUGGGCGUAAAGCGUGCGUAGGCGGUCCCGCAAGUCCGCUGUGAAAGCCCCGGGCUCAACCUGGGAACUGCAGUGGAAACUAUGGGACUUGAAUCCGGCAGAGGGGGGUGGAAUGCCACGUGUAGCAGUGAAAUGCGUAGAGAUGUGGCGGAACACCGAUGGCGAAGGCAGCCCCCUGGGCUGAGAUUGACGCUCAGGCACGAAAAGCGUGGGGAGCAAACA